rnacentral:lncRNA from 1 species
GCUCAGGAAAUUGGUGCAGUAAACUCGACAGAACUCGACUCCAAUAUAACUAAAACUUAUGCUGAAUCGAUUGGGCAUGUUCCAGCUAAAAUCUUUAGAAGCAGCUUUGCUAGUAUUGAUGAUGGUACAGUUUCAGACCAAGGACCUGUGGAUGCUGACUGCGGAGCUGGCUUAGUUCAGGGGUAUGAAGAAGAAAGAGUAGCCCAUGAUAUCGACACCAGAUCUGUUAGAGGUCGAAGUAAAAUUUCACAGUUAAAUCUUGGGGAACAGAGAAUUGUAUGCACACAAUCUCUCGAGCUGAAUGGAAACCCUGAUGAUGGUAUAGUGCCACAAGUUCAAAGCGAUGAAAUUUUGCAGUCUGAUUGCAAUGAUGCUACAAUAACUGAUGAUGGUACAGUUUCAGACCAAGGACCUGAUUAUGCUAACUGCGGAGCUGGCCUAGUUCAGGGGUAUGAAGCAGGAGUAGCCCAUGAUACUGACACCAGAUCCGUCACAGAUCAGUGUAAUAUUUCACAAUUAGAUCUUGGGGAACAGAGAAGUGACUGCACACAAUCACCC